rnacentral:lncRNA from 1 species
GGCCAGUAGUAACCCUGCUGUAGUACUUUGUAGGCCAAGGAUUUGCCCCCAAGUGAUUUCCGCAGAUCCCUUCAUGCACCUCUCUGAGUGCGUAGUCCGCGUCAGUCGGUCCCAGGCACCUCAGCAAGGGAAGGAAGAACGAUCUUUAGUAGAGUCGGCCGUCCAUCAUCACAUAUUGGGAGGCCACCCACCGGAGUUGUUUGGCUUCCGCGGGGUCUUCAGGGCUGGUUCCGUCGGUCAGAUACUGAACGAUCGGAUCCAUCCAGUUCAGCU